rnacentral:tRNA from 1 species
GCAUUGGUGAUUCAGUGGUAGAAUUUUUUGCGUUCCACGCGGGAUACCUAGGUUCAAUUCCCGGCCAGUGCA